rnacentral:rRNA from 1 species
UAGGGAAUCUUCCGCAAUGGACGCAAGUCUGACGGAGCAACGCCGCGUGAGUGAAGAAGGAUUUCGGUUCGUAAAACUCUGUUGUUAGAGAAGAACAGCGCAUAGAGUAACUGUUAUGCGUGUGACGGUAUCUAACCAGAAAGCCACGGCUAACUACGUGCCAGCAGCCGCGGUAAUACGUAGGUGGCAAGCGUUGUCCGGAUUUAUUGGGCGUAAAGCGAGCGCAGGCGGUCAAUUAAGUCUGAGGUGAAAGCCCCCGGCUCAACCGGGGGGGGUCAUUGGAAACUGGUUGACUUGAGUGCAGAAGAGGAGAGUGGAAUUCCAUGUGUAGCGGUGAAAUGCGUAGAUAUAUGGAGGAACACCAGCGGCGAAGGCGACUCUAUGGUCUGUAACUGACGCUGAGGCUCGAAAGCGUGGGUAGCAAACAGG